GAAUAGUUUGAAUUAUAAUGAUGAGGGAAAGCCUUAUAUAACUUCUUAGGGUCUAGGCAAUGUUCACACUUUCCAUUUUACUGCUCCAUAAGGAUAAAGCGUGGCAGUGACUUCAUUUAAGCUUGUCCCCCAAAGAUAAACCUUCACUUUAAUGGCAAGGCAUUCAGAAUAGCAGAGCAGACCCCUUUAUUCUAGCAACUGAAAACUAUAAAAAUUUCCACAUUUAUCCUUAAGGCUAUUAUUAGUUAUACCCCCUACCUCCAGUCACAUCUCAAAGAAACUUUGCAGAGGGGUGGGUAAAGAACUCAUGCAAUACCAUAUUCUGGCCAAGAUUUGUGGGCUGCUUGUCGCCAUGCCAAACAUAUCUGUAUUGUAAAGGUUCACACUGCUCCACAAUCUGCAGUCAUAGAUUCACUCCAGGUAGAGCGUACAGCAGCGGCAGGAAAUGAAAUUGGCCUGGCAGCAGUCUGGUAUGGUGGUCUGAAUAAUUUUAGGGUCUACAGGAGCUUAGGGGUGGUGUGGUCCAGUGUCCGAAUGAGCUCAGGGGUGGUCUGGUCCUGGGUCUAAAUGAGCUCAGAUGUGGCCUGGUCAGGGGUCUAAAUACGCUCAGAGGUGGCCUGGUCCAGGGUCUAAAUACGCUCAGAGGUGGCCUGGUCCAGGGGUCUGGUUUGUUUUUCCAUUAACAAAUAAUGUUACAUCUGUUCUACAAAUUUUAUGAAACCUCAACAAGACAACAUUUUUAUUGCUGGUGUUCAGCUUGGACAUUCAGCUGACUGCAAGAACCAGGGAAGUGGACCUUUACUAAACCUGAGCACUCUUGGUCUAG